GGGUUAAGUCCCGCAACGAGCGCAACCCUCGACCUUAGUUGCCAGCAUUCAGUUGGGCACUCUAAGGUGACUGCCGGCUAAAAGUCGGAGGGAAGGUGGGGAUGACGUCAAAUCAUCAUGCCCCUUAUGACCUGGGCUACACACGUGCUACAAUGGGCGGUACAAAGGGUUGCCAACCCGCGAGGGGGAGCUAAUCCCACAAAGCCGAUCGUAGUCCGGAUCGCAGUCUGCAACUCGACUGCGUGAAGUCGGAAUCGCUAGUAAUCGUGGAUCAGCAUGUCACGGUGAAUACGUUCCCGGGUCUU
rnacentral:rRNA from 1 species